UAUGUAUGCACAUGCAUAAGUCGCUUUGGAUAAAAGCGUCUGCUAAAUGGUAUAUA
rfam:Salmo salar isolate Sally breed double haploid chromosome ssa05, whole genome shotgun sequence.